rnacentral:rRNA from 1 species
GACGGAGGGUGCAAACGUUGCUCGGAAUCACUGGGCAUAAAGCGCACGUAGGCGGCCAACUAAGUCGGGUGUGAAAGCCCCCCGGCUCAACCGGGGAAUGGCUCCCGAUACUGGUUGGCUCGAGGACGGUAGGGGUGAGUGGAACUCCAGGUGGAGCGGUGAAAUGCGUAGAUAUCUGGAGGAACACCGGUGGCGAAGGCGGCAUCCUGGACCGACACUGACACUGAGGAGCGAAAGCCAGGGGAGCAAACGGG